rnacentral:lncRNA from 1 species
UUCCCAUCAGCUUUCGUCAUAUUUCAUCUUUUUCUAACAUUUCCCAUCAAUUUUCGUCAUAUUUCAUCUCUUUGACAUUUCCCAUCAAUUUCUGCCUUAUUUAUUUUUUUGUUUCAUAUUUCCCAUCAAUUUUUGUCAUAUUUCGUCUCUAUUUUCAGCAUUUCCCAUCAAUUUUGGUCAUAUCUCAUCUCUUUAUAACAUUUCCCAUCAAUUUUCGUCAUAUUUCAUCUCUUUAUGACAUUUCCCAUCAAUUUUCGUCAUAUUUCAUCUCUAUUUUCAGCAUUUCCCAUCAGCUUUCGUCAUAUUUCAUCUCUUUCAAACAUUUCCCAUCAAUUUUCGUCAUAUUUCAUCUCUGACAUUUCCCAUCAAUUUCUGCCUUAUUUAUUUUUUUGUUUCAUAUUUCCCAUCAAUUUUCAUCAUAUUUCAUCUCGAUUUUCAGCAUUUCCCAUCAAUUUUGGUCAUAUCUCAUCUCUAUAACAUUUCCCAUCAAUUUUUGUCAUAUUUCAUCUCUAUUUUCAGUAUUUCCCAUCAAUUUUGGUCAUAUUUCAUCUCAUUCUAACAUUUCCCAUCAGCUUUCGUCAUAUUUCAUCUCUUUAUAACAUUUCCCAUCAAUUUUCGUCAUAUUUCAUCUCUGACAUUUCCCAUCAAUUUCUGCCUUAUUUAUUUUUUUGUUUCAUAUUUCCCAUCAAUUUUGGUCAUAUUUCGUCUCUAUUUUCAGCAUUUCCCAUCAAAUUUCGUCAUAUUUCGUCUCCUUAUAACAUUUCCCCUCAAUUUUCGUCAUAUUUCGUCUCUUUAUAACAUUUCCCAUCAAUUUUCGUCAUAUUUCGUCUCUAUAACAUUUCCCAUCAGCUUUCGUCAUAUUUCGUCUCUAUUUUCAGCAUUUCCCAUCAAUUUUGGUCAUAUUUCAUCUCUUUAUAACAUUUCCCAUCAGCUUUCAUCAUAUUUCGUCUCUUUAUAACAUUUCCCAUCAAUUUUGGUCAUAUUUCGUCUCCUUAUAACAUUUCCCAUCAGCUUUCAUCAUAUUUCGUCUCUGUUUUCAGGAUUUCCCAUCAAUUUUCGUCAUAUUUCAUCUCUUUAUAACAUUUCCCAUCAAUUUUCGUCAUAUUUCAUCUCUGACAUUUCCCAUCAAUUUCUGCCUUAUUUAUUUUUUUGUUUCAUAUUUCCCAUCAAUUUUCAUCAUAUUUCGUCUCUAUUUUCAGCAUUUCCCAUCAAAUUUCGUCAUAUUUCGUCUCCUUAUAACAUUUCCCAUCAGCUUUCGUCAUAUUUCAUCUCUAUUUUCAGCAUUUCCCAUCAAUUUUCGUCAUAUUUCACCUCUUUUUAACAUUUCCCAUCAAUUUUCGUCAUAUUUCAUCUCUUUAUAACAUUUCCCAUCAAUUUUGGUCAUAUUUAAUCUCUUUAUAACAUUUCCCAUCAAUUUUCGUCAUAUUUCACCUCUUUUUAACAUUUCCCAUCAAUUUUCAUCAUAUUUCAUCUCUUUAUAACAUUUCCCAUCAAUUUUGGUCAUAUUUCAUCUCUUUAUAACAUUUCCCAUCAAUUUUCGUCAUAUUUCAUCUCUUUAUAACAUUUCCCAUCAAUUUUCGUCAUAUUUCAUCUCUUUAUAACAUUUCCCAUCAAUUCCUCGUAAUAUUUUAAUCAAUUUUCCCUUCACUUUCUCUUCCCUGGUCACGUGACUCACAAUGGGACUCUUACUAACAAAAGAGGAUCCAGCGUUGCUCAUAAUAGUGCCUUAUCUACACCACCUAAAGGGGAUCCAAUGCCUUAUAUAAGUUAGAACGCUAUAUUGUGCCUUAUUUAACUACGUAUAGCAUUUGAUUCCCCUCUAAAGUGGUGUUCAAUGCAUGUAUAUGGUCGUAUCUUAAGACUAGGUGCUCUAUUUCCAAAGAACUUUAUGAGAAAUGGGUUUGGAUCCUUUAUAAUCCCAAAGAAUGUGUGUUGAAUAGGAUUGGAUUGCUUAUAACCAAAAGUAGAACAGGUUUGGAUCCUUUAUAAUCCCAAAGAAUGUGUGUUGAAUAGGAUUGGAUCGCUUAUAACCAAAAGUAGAACAGGUUUGGAUCCUUUAUAAUCCCAAAGAAUGUGUGUUGAAUAGGAUUGGAUCGCUUAUAACCAAAAGUAGAACAGGUUUGGAUCCUUUAUAAUCCCAAAGAAUGUGUGUUGAAUAGGAUGGGAUCACUUACAACCCAAAGAAUUGUAUUAGAAAAGGUUUGGAUACCUUAUAAAUCCAAGAAAUUGAUAGUAAACAGGGUUGGAUAGCCUAUAACCCAAAGAACUUGUAUUAGAAAGAGUUGGAUACCUUAUGAUCCCAAAGAAUGUAUGUUAAAUAGGGUUGUAUCGCUUAUAACCCAAAGAACUUGUAUUAUAAAAGGGUUGGGUACCUUAUAAUCACUAAGAAUGUCUGUUAAAUAGGAUUGGAUCGCUUGUAACCCAAAGAACUUGUAUUAGAAAAGGGUUAGAUCGUUCAUAAUCCCCAAAAAAUGUUAAAUGGAGUUAGAUCGCAUAUAAUCCAAAUAACUUGUAUUAGAAAAGGGUUGGAUACCUUAUAAUCCCAAAGACUAUAUGUUAAAUGGAAUUAGAUCGCUUGUAACUCUAAGGACUUGUGUUAGAAAAGGAUAGGAUCGUUUAUAAUCCCAAAGAAUUUAUGGUGAAGAGGGUUAGAUCGCUUAAAACCUUAAAGAACGUAUUUAAAGAGAGGUCGAUCACUUAUAAUCCCAAAGAAUGUGCUAAAGAGGGUUGGAUAGCUUGUAAUCCUAAAGAACGUAUUUCAUAGAGGGUUCGAUCAUUUGUAACCCCAAAAGUCGUAUUUCAAAGAGGUUUCGAUCACAUUCAAUCCCAAAGUGUGUGCUAGAGAGGGUUGGAUAGCUUAUGAUGUAUGUUAAGUAGAAUUGGGUAGCUUAUAAUCCCAAAGAAUGUCUGUUAAAUAGGAUCGGAUCGCUUAUAAUCCGAAAGAGUGUAUUUUGAAGAGGAUUCGAUCACAUUUAAUCCCAAAGAAUGUCUAUUAAAUAAGGUCGGAUCGCUUAUAACCUGAAAGAACGUAUUAUAAAGAGGAUUCGAUCACAUUUAAUCCCAAAGAGUGUGCUAAAGAGGGUUAGAUAACUUAUAAUGUAUGUUAAGUAGGAUUGGGUAGCUUUUAACCUCAAAGAAUGUGUUUUAUAAGGGAUUAGAAAGCCUACAAUCCGAAAGACUAAGUUAAAAGGGUUUGUGUAGCUUAUAAUGCAUUCAAAGACUGUAAAUUAAGAUUGGAUAGUGUUAGAAAAGGAUUGGAUACCUUAUACCUCCAAAGAACAUAAUAUUAGAGGAUUCAAUGCUUUAUAAUAUCAAAAAUCGUAAUAUAUGGAGGAUCUAAUGUCAUAUAACAGAGAAAUGUGCCAAAAGAAUCCAAUGCUUUAUAAUGCCAAAAAUUGUGAAAUAUUGAGGAUUUAAUGCCAUGUAGUAUCCCAAAAAAUGUAUAGUAAAAGGAUCCAAUGCUUUAUAGUACCAAAAAUCGUAACAUAUGGAGGAUUUGAUGUCAUAUAACCCCCCAAAACAUACCAAAAGAAUCCAAUGCUUUAUAAUGCCAAAAAUUGUGAAAUAUUGAGGAUUUAAUGCCAUAUAAUACCCCAAAAAACGUAUGUUAGAAGGAUCCAAUGCUUUAUA